rnacentral:lncRNA from 1 species
GCGCGCGCACGCGGUGGUGCGGCCCCGCGGGCACAUCCCCGCCCGCGGCGCGACCCGGAAGCGCUGCGGGUCGCUUCCGGGUGAGGGGGGCUUCCGGCCGGCUGGCCCGUUAUCCCGGGGGGGUCCGGCGGGGCCCGGCUAUGUGAGCGCCGGGGCCCGCGGCCUUCUCUUCGCGGAGCUGAUUCCCGAUGUCCUGCCAUGGAGGAUGAUAGCCAGGAUGAGCUGAUAAACAAGAACGCUGCGCUAGGCAAGGGCAAGAGACAGAGCCUGGCGCUCCUCAGUGAAGCAGAAAGCAAUGGUGGAAAUAGCUGUGAUUCAGAAGAUGAUACUGGAAGUGAAGAGGAAGAAGAUGACACUGAGGAGGAGGGAGGUGAGGAGGACAAGGAAGAAAGUGAAGAUGAAGAAUUAGAAGGUAGGUCUGUUAAUGUAUUUUUACAGAAAGAAUGGGAUUAAAGCUUUCCUUCCAAAAAGUGACCAUGAAAUGUAAAUCCACAGAUGUUCUUAAGAAUGGUCACUUUCUGGUCACUUUUCUGAUGCUGCUGUUUCAGGCUUGUGUCCACAUCCUGCAGCAAUUAACAAACAAGCAAAUCCUAGUUUUUUAAAGCAUUUGUGUAUUUGAAGGCUGCCCACCAAUCAAAGGGUUGUACAGAUAGUAAAAGCAAACUUUUCCUACUCAGGUAGGAGCAGUGGCUCCUACUGUUUGUUUGUUUCCCCCCCCCCCCCCCACCUCAUGUAAAG